rnacentral:lncRNA from 1 species
UCAAAUAGAAUAGGGUUUUACAAGGGUUUUGUAUUACUGAAUAAGGCCUUAGCUUUCUGAGGAGGGGACUCCUCUUUUAUACAUUGUCUUGCUCGCUGGUGACGUGUAAAGGUCUCUUCAGGAUUGGACCACGCGUCUCUGCCAUGCAGAUUCGGAGGUACUAGGGUAUCAGCUGCCUGCUCCAUGCGUAACGGCUUCUGAUUCUCCUCGUGCGUACGUUCGAGCGGAUCUGCCAGGCUGCCUAGUGAAUAUUUUUCUGGAUCCUGGGCUGGGCCGGGAGUUGGGCCGGACGCUAAGCCUGAGUGAAGAGGAUGGGUCGAGCCCGGCCUUGAGGGUUGGAUGAGCCAGGCUUGUUAUGUACAUCAGGUGUGUGGGCCUCUACGUCAUGGGCUUUGGGCUGUGGUCAAGCCCCUGGCCAGGGAAGAAGGAAUCCAGCGGUCAUCAAUUGCCCCUUCACCUUCUCGGCGGUUAUUGCUCCAACUGCCGAGGGGGUGAAUACCAAGAACUUUUAUGAUCGCGUCUGUUCGGGUUCAGGUGCCUUAAUAACAUCCUUUCAUCUUUCAGUCGUUGCGCAGUUUCUGAAUUCUAUUUGCUCUUUUCUCUUUCUGUCUUUUUUCUAUUCUUCUUGUCCUCUGCCGCCUUUACUUUUUUUGUCAUCAUUAUCUGGACAUCUCCUUUCUUUCCUUUCCCGUGAAUAUCUUUUAAGAAUCUGACAUCGCUGGCUUAGAGUCUAGUGUAGCUCUGCCUCGUGCUAAGUCCUCAGGCUCCGAGUAUAUAUCAGUGCCAGCUUUUCUUCAUUCUUGAGCCUUCUGUUGAAAUGAGAAAUUCUUGUUUUAUCUGUGGCAGGUCUAUUCGACGCCUUCUUCAAACAGAUUGCCUUGUGCCCCAGAGGUUUGCUUUGAUUUUGCUCUUAUCAUCUUAAGGGAGAACUGUUUCUGACUUGUCUCUGUUUUGAAACUUUUUGCAGUUCCUGAAAUAAAAAUGGGUCAGUUCAAAAUUCUUGAAAAUUUGAUGUUACCUCUAAGGCGUCUGGAGGGUGCAUUGAAGAUCCUUCUGGUAUGGCAGUCGAAGGGUGGGACCAUUCGGCAAGCUGCUGAAACUGCUUUACCCAGGUCGUCUGGCCGGCCUCCUCCUCUGCUUGUUGUCCGGGCUCCAAAGAAGUUCUGGG